GACGAACGCUGGCGGCGUGCCUAAUACAUGCAAGUCGAACGCAGUGGCGACGGGUGAGUAACACGUGGGUAACCUCCCAUCAGAGGGGAUCACGCUUGGAAACAGGUGCUAAACCGAUACUGAUGGAUGGACCCGCGGUGCAUUAGCUAGUUGGUGAGGUAACGGCUCACCAAGGCCACGAUGCAUAGCCGACUUGAGAGGGUGAUCGGCCAACCUGGGACUGAGACACGGCCCAGAUUCCUACGGGAGGCAGCAGUAGGGAAUCUUCGGCAAUGGACGAAAGUCUGACCGAGCAACGCCGCGUGAUUGAAGAAGGUCUUCGGCUCGGAAAACUCGGUUGGUAGAGAAGCGGUAUCUAACCAGAAAGCCAUGGCUAACUACGUGCCAGCAGCCGCGGUAAUAC
rnacentral:rRNA from 1 species